rnacentral:lncRNA from 1 species
AAUGAGGGAACAUUAUAUUUAAUUUCUUACAUAAUUCAUAAACACAGCAUCACCCAUCUAUGGAUAUGAUUUUAAGAUGAAUAUAGUUCACAGAUUAUUAAAACUCCCAAAAAAAUAAAAAAAAUAAUUUUAUAAUGCAAAGGCAAAAGAUAAACUAUAGAUUUUAGAGAUCUUUCAUAAAUCUUUUAUUUUAGACUUCAUUCUUUGUCCAUGUUUAUAAACCAUUCUCAGAAGAAAAAAAAGACAUUGAAUAACACUUGUUAACCAUGAAGUGGAUAAGCAGAGAUUCUUAAGAUUCAAACCAUGAAGAAUGAUAGAUAAAUUUAAAAUCCUUUUCCACCCAUAAGCAUGAAGCUCAGUUGAUAAUUAUAGUACCAUGUUUACAUAGCAUUU